GGGGGGGGGGGUGGUUUGCAGGGAAGAAUGGGCUAACAGUAAAGACAGAAUAAACCCCAGUCAGCCUUGAAUAGCCUGUACAUGUAUUAUUACUACAGCUCAAGCCUAAUGAGCUCAGCUGUUAGUAUGUUGAUGAUGCUUAAAGAGAAUUAAUGGAUUAAUGAAGUCCCCCAACUAGGAAUGUGGACACAGUUCACUUGCAGUAGCAGCAAUAAAUAUGGCAUGGCCUGAAAUCUUGGGGAGGAGUUAUAUGAAGCCAUAAUUAAUUAAAAUAUCAUCAAUUUAUCUUUGUCACCUAAAGAACUACUAAACUUAAAAGACUGAUUUCAAUUUUAUGCAUGCACCUAGGGGCAGCCACCAGGCUAGUUUCAGUUCAAGGUUCAGGGGAAUCGGGACUAAACUGCAAGAUCCUCUCUAUUCUAGUUUUGAUCAAAUCCAACGGUUGAAAUUUUUUAUUUUUGAAAGGGAAAAACUCAGCUUUUGGCUGAUUUCAUCAGGUUUUGACUAGUUUCAAUUUUAGGUUGGACUGGUCCAGUUCUAAACCAGAUUGUGGCCAAGCUACAUGCAGCCAAAUGUAUGUAGUUGUGCAUGUACAUUAAUAAGGUUAAAAAAUAACCAUUUUUAUUCUCUUUUAACAAAAUUAAAAAGAAAAUAAAAUUAGUAGAUAUUAUUUGCAUAACUUCUGCAAAACCCCAAAAAAAGUUCAUAAUGAAAGAAAUCAUGCCAUUUUAAUAACAAUUAACCCCCAUAGAAAAUGUCAUUGAAGAACACUGGCUAACAUUGAUUAAUCAAGAUCUAAGAUGUUCAAAGAUCCAAAGUUUUCUUUUAGACGAUAGGCCCCAUUCAUUGUGAUAACCUUUGAAUCUUCAAACAAUAGAUGAACAAAUGCAGGAAAACUUGCAAGUCAAAGAGUUAAGGCUGAAAUUUGAGGUUUUGUUGAAGACUUGAAGUCUAAAGUAGGCAAAAAUUUAGUUGGAAAUUUCAGGUUUAGAAGAGUAUAGGUCUGGGAAGUUAAACUAGUAUGAGAACCAAGGUUUUUGGUAGGGGUGAGCAGAAUUCGAUUCAAAUCGAAAAAUCGAUGCGAUUUAAUUCAGAAAUUAGGAUUUGUUUUCUCAGUUAAUAGGUUUGGUUUUUUAUUUUAAGGAAUUUGGUCUAUUUGGUUCGUUUUUUUGAGGGGAAAAUGGUAGAACCAAACCAAA
rnacentral:misc_RNA from 1 species